UACUUAGCGGCGGACGGGUGAGUAACGCGUGGGUAACCUGCCUUACACUGGGGGAUAACAGUUAGAAAUGACUGCUAAUACCGCAUAAGCGCACAGGGCCGCAUGGUCUGGUGUGAAAAACUCCGGUGGUGUAAGAUGGACCCGCGUCUGAUUAGGUAGUUGGUGGGUAACGGCCCACCAAGCCGACGAUCAGUAGCCGACCUGAGAGGGUGACCGGCCACAUUGGGACUGAGACACGGCCCAA
rnacentral:rRNA from 1 species